GUUUCCGGAGCGCCUACUGUGCUCCUUGCCGGGGUGGGGGUCGUUACCGAGUGGGAACUUCUGCAAAUCCUGACUUUUGUCACUUCGCGCCCCGCACAAGAUGUCCUGCCGGCGGUGCGAUUGGUCCCGUUGCUUCGAGGGGAAACUGAGGCCACUUAGUCCGGGCACUUACCCGCAGCUAGUUAAGGACUAGGCUCUGAUGGAGACGCUUGUUACGACCUCAAUGGCCUGUAGAAUCUGGGAGGCCGCCUCCGACCUAAGCCCAAAAAGCACAUGAUCGGGCUCACAGGGGGCGGCCAGAGGUGAAAACAGCCAACGCUUUACAACGACGCUGUGCGGGGCACUUCGUGUGUGUCAUCCCGUCUCAUCCUCGGGUGAUAGGAACUGUUCAUUCGGGAAAAUUGCAAACAACUAAAUACCCCUCACCAGGAGCUGGCCCAUUAUAGCAACUCUGAGACCUCUCUACCGCAGGCUCUUAAAAUGGGACACCGCCGCCCGCCCCUCGGGCACCGGACACAGGCGCGGCUGAGGACUGACGGCCCCCUGGAAGCCACUCGGGAGUCCUAGAUUUUGCUGAAGGAAGAAGGGGCUGGAGAAAAUAAAAGGGCAGGAGUCUGGAGUGUGAUAACUGUGGCUUCGU
rnacentral:lncRNA from 1 species